rnacentral:rRNA from 1 species
GACGAACGCUGGCGGCGUGCUUAACACAUGCAAGUCGAACGGAAAGGCCCUGCUUUUGUGGGGUGCUCGAGUGGCGAACGGGUGAGUAACACGUGAGUAACCUGCCCUUGACUUUGGGAUAACUUCAGGAAACUGGGGUUAAUACCGGAUAGGAGCUCCUGCUGCAUGGUGGGGGUUGGAAAGUUUCGGCGGUUGGGGAUGGACUCGCGGCUUAUCAGCUUGUUGGUGGGGUAGUGGCUUACCAAGGCUUUGACGGGUAGCCGGCCUGAGAGGGUGACCGGCCACAUUGGGACGGAGAUACGGCCCAGACUCCUAAGGGAGGCAGCAGUGGGGAAUAUUGCACAAUGGGCGGAAGCCUGAUGCAGCAACGCCGCGUGCGGGAUGACGGCCUUCGGGUUGUAAACCGCUUUCGCCUGUGACGAAGCGUGAGUGACGGUAAUGGGUAAAGAAGCACCGGCUAACUACGUG